UAACUUAGUGGCGGACGGGUGAGUAACGCGUGAGUAACCUGCCUUUCAGAGGGGGAUAACGUCCUGAAAAGGACGCUAAUACCGCAUGAUAUAUUUGUGCCGCAUGGUAUGGAUAUCAAAGGAGCAAUCCGCUGGAAGAUGGACUCGCGUCCGAUUAGCUAGUUGGAGGGGUGACGGCCCACCAAGGCGACGAUCGGUAGCCGGACUGAGAGGUUGAACGGCCACAUUGGGACUGAGACACGGCCCAGACUCCUACGGGAGGCAGCAGUGGGGGAUAUUGCGCAAUGGGGGAAACCCUGACGCAGCAACGCCGCGUGAAGGAAGAAGGUUUUCGGAUUGUAAACUUCUUUUCUAAGGGACGAAGAAGUGACGGUACCUUAGGAAUAAGCUCCGGCUAACUACGUGCCAGCAGCCGCGGUAAUACGUAGGGAGCAAGCGUUGUCCGGAUUUACUGGGUGUAAAGGGUGCGUAGGCGGCAAUGCAAGUCAGAUGUGAAAUGCACGGGCUCAACCCGUGAGCUGCAUUUGAAACUGUGUUGCUUGAGUGAGGUAGAGGCGGGCGGAAUUCCCGGUGUAGCGGUGAAAUGCGUAGAGAUCGGGAGGAACACCAGUGGCGAAGGCGGCCUGCUGGGC
rnacentral:rRNA from 1 species